AGUGAACGCUGGCGGUAGGCCUAACACAUGCAAGUCGAACGGCAGCACAGUAAGAGCUUGCCCUUACGGGUGGCGAGUGGCGGACGGGUGAGGAAUACAUCGGAAUCUACUUUUUCGUGGGGAUAACGUAGGGAAACUUACGCUAAUACCGCAUACGACCUACGGGUGAAAGCAGGGGAUCUUCGGACCUUGCGCGAUUGAAUGAGCCGAUGUCGGAUUAGCUAGUUGGCGGGGUAAAGGCCCACCAAGGCGACGAUCCGUAGCUGGUCUGAGAGGAUGAUCAGCCACACUGGAACUGAGACACGGUCCAGACUCCUACGGGAGGCAGCAGUGGGGAAUAUUGGACAAUGGGCGCAAGCCUGAUCCAGCCAUACCGCGUGGGUGAAGAAGGCCUUCGGGUUGUAAAGCCCUUUUGUUGGGAAAGAAAAGCAGCAGGUUAAUACCCCGCUGUUCUGACGGUACCCAAAGAAUAAGCACCGGCUAACUUCGUG
rnacentral:rRNA from 1 species